UCGGGAAUUUUGUGCAAUGGGCGAAAGCCUGACACAGCAACGCCGCGUGAAGGAUGAAGUCCCUCGGGAUGUAAACUUCGUAAGAAUAGGAAGAAUAAAUGACGGUACUAUUUGUAAGGUCCGGCUAACUACGUGCCAGCAGCCGCGGUAAUACGUAGGGUGCAAGCGUUAAUCGGAAUUACUGGGCGUAAAGCGUGCGCAGGCGGUUAUGCAAGACAGAUGUGAAAUCCCCGGGCUCAACCUGGGAACUGCAUUUGUGACUGUAUAGCUAGAGUACGGUAGAGGGGGAUGGAAUUCCGCGUGUAGCAGUGAAAUGCGUAGAUAUGCGGAGGAACACCGAUGGCGAAGGCAAUCCCCUGGACCUGUACUGACGCUCAUGCACGAAAGCGUGGGGAGCAAACAGGAUUAGAUACCCCCGUAGUCCCUGAGCGGGCUGGCAAGGCGCAU
rnacentral:rRNA from 1 species